AACGCAAAUUGCACUCUCUGGUAUUCCGGGGAGUAUGCCUGUUUGAGGGUCGCCAAAUCAAAAUCGAAAUUCAUUUGCUUUUUGCAAAUGUUUAUCGGAUUUGAGCCGUCUUUUAUUUUUUUAAUUAAAGUGGCUUAAAAUGUAUUUUUUAGGUAUCGAAAAACGUUAUUUUACGAUCCAAUUGAUCAAAAAACGAACGUUUCGAAUGCCGUCUUUUAAUGUAAUACGUUUGACUGUGUUGCAAUCAUGGUUUCAUUCGUAUACGAUCUUUUAAUUUUUGACCUCAAAUCAGGUAAGAACACCCGCUGAACUUAA
rnacentral:misc_RNA from 1 species